UUUCCGUAGGUGAACCUGCGAAAGGAUCAUUACUGAGUGAGGGCCCCUCGGGGUCCAACCUCCCACCCGUGUUUAACGAACCUUGUUGCUUCGGCGGGCCCGCCUCACGGCCGCCGGGGGGCAUCUGCCCCCGGGCCCGCGCCCGCCGAAGCCACCUGUGAACGCUGUCUGAAGUAUGCAGUCUGAGACAAUUAUUAAAUUAAUUAAAACUUUCAACAACGGAUCUCUUGGUUCCG
rnacentral:misc_RNA from 1 species